UACAGAGGGUGCAAGCGUUAAUCGGAAUUACUGGGCGUAAAGGGCGCGUAGGCGGUUAGUUAAGUUAGAUGUGAAAUCCCUGGGCUUAACCUAGGAACUGCAUCUGAUACUGGCUAGCUAGAGUGCUGUAGAGGGUAGUGGAAUUUCCGGUGUAGCGGUGAAAUGCGUAGAUAUCGGAAGGAACACCAGUGGCGAAGGCGGCUACCUGGACAGACACUGACGCUGAGGCGCGAAAGCGUGGGGAUCAAACAGG
rnacentral:rRNA from 1 species